rnacentral:rRNA from 1 species
UACGAAGGGGGCUAGCGUUGCUCGGAAUCAUUGGGCGUAAAGCGCACGUAGGCGGCGCGUUAAGUCGGGUGUGAAAGCCCUGGGCUCAACCCAGGAAGUGCAUUCGAAACUGGCGCGCUUGAAUAUGGAAGAGGGUCGCGGAAUUCCCGGUGUAGAGGUGAAAUUCGUAGAUAUCGGGAGGAACACCAGUGGCGAAGGCGGCGACCUGGGCCAAUAUUGACGCUGAGGUGCGAAAGCGUGGGGAGCAAACAGG